GAACGCGAAGAACCUUACCAGGUCUUGACAUCCUGCGCUACACCUAGAGAUAGGUGGUUCCCUUCGGGGACGCAGAGACAGGUGGUGCAUGGCUGUCGUCAGCUCGUGUCGUGAGAUGUUGGGUUAAGUCCCGCAACGAGCGCAACCCUUUUCCUUACUUGCCAGCAUUUCGGAUGGGAACUUUAAGGAUACUGCCAGUGACAAACUGGAGGAAGGCGGGGACGACGUCAAGUCAUCAUGGCCCUUACGGCCAGGGCUACACACGUGCUACAAUGGUCGGUACAAAGGGUUGCUACACAGCGAUGUGAUGCUAAUCUCAAAAAGCCGAUCGUAGUCCGGAUCGCAGUCUGCAACUCGACUGCGUGAAGUCGGAAUCGCUAGUAAUCGCGGAUCAGAAUGCCGCGGUGAAUACGUUCCCGGGUCUUGUACACACC
rnacentral:rRNA from 1 species